UACGUAGGGUGCAAGCGUUAAUCGGAAUUACUGGGCGUAAAGCGUGCGCAGGCGGCUUUGCAAGACAGAUGUGAAAUCCCCGGGCUUAACCUGGGAACUGCAUUUGUGACUGCAUGGCUAGAGUGCGGCAGAGGGGGAUGGAAUUCCGCGUGUAGCAGUGAAAUGCGUAGAUAUCCGGAGGAACACCGGUGGCGAAGGCGGCUUCCUGGACCGACACUGACGCUGAGGCGCGAAAGCUAGGGGAGCAAACGGG
rnacentral:rRNA from 1 species